CCCGCAGCUGCGUCCUGCUGAGGUGGAGCACGGGCACCAGGAGCUCUGCAGUCUGUGUGAGGAGCUCUCGGGGAAGGGUUCCGAGAUCGGUGCCGACAAGCUCAAGCAGGUUCUGGAUGGGGUGUUUUCCAGACGAACAGACAUAAAGUUCGAUGGUUUCAGCAUCCACACUUGCCGGGAAGUGAUCAGCUUGCUGGACGUAUCCUUUGAGCAGCUCAGCCUCUCUCUUUCACCUUUUCCCGCAGGAAGGGAGGGCGGGCAGAUGGGAAAUGAGAUGGGAACUGUCUUAGCUGCUUUGCUUGUGGCUGAGACAAAACACUAGGCACCCAAAGUCAGAGGAGGGAAGGUUUACUUAGCUCACAGUUCGCAGAGGUUCAGUCUAUAUUCAGUGGCUCCAAGGCGGGGUGGCAGGGCAGAGGGCUCUCGCAGAGGAGAAACAGUGCAAGCUUGUUAAUCUGCAUGCGCCUUUCCCACCUUCCCCAAGGCUACCCAGAGGCUCUGAGGCCUCAAGGCUGCCAAGCUCAUAGGAGGGCGCCACAGCAUGGGUGGGGCUUGUCGUGUUGGCCUUUAACAAGCCCAGAGCUCUGGCACCGGUACCCUGGGACCCACUGAGCUCAGAGCGCUCUGCCUGAAGGUCCGGAAGUACCUGGUAAUUCUCCUCUCCCCAGCUCCCUGGCCCUGCCUGUCCCUCAUUCCCAACCCGCUGUGACACUCGUGCCUGGGCCUGGUCUGACCAGACAUCAAUCUGGGCCGUAGGAGAUCUACCAGGAGAUGGAUCCCAGCCACCUGGGGACCGUGGAUGCCCACGAGAUGAGGACAGCCCUCAGGAGGGCGGGGUUCAGCGUCAGCACCCAGGUGCAGCACACCAUCGCCACUCGCUACGCCGGCCGCACGCUCUGCCUCGACUUCGACGGCUUCGUGGCCUGCAUGGUCCGGCUGGAGAGCCUCUUCCAACUGUUCCGGGUCUUGGACCGGAACCGGACGGGUGUCAUCCAGCUCUCCCUGGCUGAGUGGCUGGGCUGUGUGCUGGUCUGAGCGGCGUAUUCUCCCGCCCUCCGCCCUCCCUCCUGGGUUCUCUGGAUGCUCAGCCUCGGGGCCUUUGCUGGCUUCUCCAGUGGCUCUGCCAAGUCACUGCGCCCUGGGGCGCUGGCCUGGCUGCAGCCUUGCUGGGUGCAGCCCGAGGGGAGGACAGGCAAUUAAAGCUGUGGCUGGAGCAGUCUCGCCUCUCUCUGGGGACACGAAACACGGGCCUCACGCACUAGGAGCACGAUGCUCUUGGGAAACACGACAGGAGCCCCCAAGAUGGAAAACGGGGAUUGAUUUCCGAAGGAGGAGGCCUGCUCCCCUCAGGGCUGCUGUGGGAAAGGGGAGCACCUGCUCCAUCUAGUUUGCCCAACCCCCUCAUUCUUUAGAGUGCCCUGACUUCAGAGCACUCAGG
rnacentral:lncRNA from 1 species